AUGAAGCUACAAGGCUUGCGUACUCAAACUCCUUCCAAAAAGAAUCAUGGUUUUAUUUACAAAGCUAAGGCAUUACUGUGUGAAAAUGGAGUGAAUGUAAAGCGCGAUACAAGCAAUGAAAUUAUUAUAUUAAUACUGCGGUUAGGGAACAUAUGGUCACGAUUCCUGCAAAAAUACAAUUGGACUUAUCUCACCAAUCAAAGUUUUUGGAUGUUAUAA